rnacentral:rRNA from 1 species
AUAGCAAGCUGUACUUGUACAGCGAAGUGGUUGAUGCCAUGCUUCCAGGAAAAGUCUCUAAGCUUCAGUUACACAGGAAUCGUACCCGAAACCGACACAGGUGGUCAGGUCGAGUAGACCAAGGCGCUUGAGAGAACUCUGCUGAAGGAACUAGGCAAAAUGGUACCGUAACUUCGGGAGAAGGUACGCUGUUGUUGGUGAUGGAACUCGCUUCCUGAGCUGACGACAGCCGCAGAAACCAGGCCGCUGCAACUGUUUAUUAAAAACAUAGCACUCUGCAAACACGAAAGUGGACGUAUAGGGUGUGAUGCCUGCCCGGUGCUGGAAGGUUAAUUGAUGGGGUUAGCGUAAGCGAAGCUCUUGAUCGAAGCCCCAGUAAACGGCGGCCGUAACUAUAACGGUCCUAAGGUAGCGAAAUUCCUUGUCGGGUAAGUUCCGACCUGCACGAAUGGCAUAAUGAUGGCGGCGCUGUCUCCAGCAGAGGCUCAGUGAAAUCGAAAUCGCUGUGAAGAUGCAGUGUACCCGCGGCUAGACGGAAAGACCCCGUGAACCUUUACUGCAGCUUGACACUGAACUUUGACCUUACUUGUGUAGGAUAGGUGGGAGGCUUUGAAGCUGGAACGCUAGUUCCAGUGGAGCCGUCCUUGAAAUACCACCCUGGUAAUGUUGAGGUUCUAACUCUGUCCCGUGAUCCGGGACGAGGACCGUGUCUGGUGGGUAGUUUGACUGGGGCGGUCUCCUCCUAAAGAGUAACGGAGGAGUACGAAGGUGCGCUCAGCGUGGUCGGAAAUCACGCGUAGAGUAUAAAGGCAAAAGCGCGCUUAACUGCGAGACCCACAAGUCGAGCAGGUACGAAAGUAGGUCUUAGUGAUCCGGUGGUUCUGUAUGGAAGGGCCAUCGCUCAACGGAUAAAAGGUACUCUGGGGAUAACAGGCUGAUACCGCCCAAGAGUUCAUAUCGACGGCGGUGUUUGGCACCUCGAUGUCGGCUCAUCUCAUCCUGGGGCUGAAGCAGGUCCCAAGGGUAUGGCUGUUCGCCAUUUAAAGAGGUACGCGAGCUGGGUUUAGAACGUCGUGAGACAGUUCGGUCCCUAUCUACCGUGGGCGCUGGAAAUUUGAGAGGAUCUGCUCCUAGUACGAGAGGACCAGAGUGGACGAACCUCUGGUGUACCGGUUGUGACGCCAGUCGCAUCGCCGGGUAGCUAUGUUCGGAAGGGAUAACCGCUGAAAGCAUCUAAGCGGGAAGCCUACCUCAAGAUAAGAUUUCCCUAGGACUUUAUGUCCUCUAAAGAGCCGUUCGAGACUAGGACGUUGAUAGGUUGGAUGUGGAAGCAUAGUGAUAUGUGAAGCUGACCAAUACUAAUUGCUCGUGAGGCUUGACUAU